rnacentral:rRNA from 1 species
CAGCCGUAAACUAUGCGCGUUAGGUGUAUCGGUGACCACGAGUCACCGAGGUGCCGAAGGGAAACCGUGAAACGUGCCGCCUGGGAAGUACGGUCGCAAGGCUGAAACUUAAAGGAAUUGGCGGGGGAGCACCACAACGGGUGGAGCCUGUGGUUUAAUUGGACUCAACGCCGGGAAGCUCACCGGAUAAGACAGCGGAAUGAUUGCCGGGCUGAAGACUCUGCAUGACUAGCUGAGAGGAGGUGCAUGGCGUAGACGUCU